CGGGACGGGUGAGUAAUGUCUGGGAAACUAGCCUGAUGGAGGGGGAUAACUACUGGAAACGGUAGCUAAUACCGCAUAACGUCGCAAGACCAAAGAGGGGGACCGUUCGGGCCUCUUGCCAUCGGAUGUGCCCAGAUGGGAUUAGCUAGUAGGUGGGGUAACGGCUCACCUAGGCGACGAUCCCUAGCUGGUCUGAGAGGAUGACCAGCCACACUGGAACUGAGACACGGUCCAG
rnacentral:rRNA from 1 species